UACGAAGGGGGCUAGCGUUGCUCGGAUUUACUGGGCGUAAAGGGCGCGUAGGCGGACAGUUAAGUCGGGGGGUGAAAGCCCGGGGCUCAACCUCGGAAUUGCCUUCGAUACUGGCUGUCUUGAGUACGGGAGAGGUGUGUGGAACUCCGAGUGUAGAGGUGAAAUUCGUAGAUAUUCGGAAGAACACCAGUGGCGAAGGCGACACACUGGCCCGUUACUGACGCUGAGGCGCGAAAGCGUGGGGAGCAAACAGG
rnacentral:rRNA from 1 species